rnacentral:rRNA from 1 species
AACGAACGCUGGCGGCAUGCCUAACACAUGCAAGUCGAACGAGACCUUCGGGUCUAGUGGCGCACGUGUGCGUAACGCGUGGGAACCUGCCCUUAGGUUCGGAAUAACUCCCCGAAAGGGGUGCUAAUACCGGAUAAUGUCUUCGGACCAAAGAUUUAUCGCUUUUGGAUGGGCCCGCGUUGGAUUAGCUAGUUGGUAGGGUAAAAGCCUACCAAGGCGACGAUCCAUAGCUGGUCUGAGAGGAUGAUCAGCCACACUGGGACUGAGACACGGCCCAGACUCCUACGGGAGGCAGCAGUGGGGAAUAUUGGACAAUGGGCGAAAGCCUGAUCCAGCAAUGCCGCGUGAGUGAUGAAGGCCUUAGGGUUGUAAAGCUCUUUUACCCGGGAUGAUAAUGACAGUACCGGGAGAAUAAGCUCCGGCUAACUCCGUG